UGUCUGAGUGUUAAAGAAUCUGACUGCAAUGCAGGAGACCCAGGUUCAAUCCCUGG
rnacentral:tRNA from 1 species